AUUGAACGCUGGCGGCAGGCUUAACACAUGCAAGUCGAGCGGGGGAAGGUAGCUUGCUACCGGACCUAGCGGCGGACGGGUGAGUAAUGCUUAGGAAUCUGCCUAUUAGUGGGGGACAACAUCUCGAAAGGGAUGCUAAUACCGCAUACGUCCUACGGGAGAAAGCAGGGGAUCUUCGGACCUUGCGCUAAUAGAUGAGCCUAAGUCGGAUUAGCUAGUUGGUGGGGUAAAGGCCUACCAAGGCGACGAUCUGUAGCGGGUCUGAGAGGAUGAUCCGCCACACUGGGACUGAGACACGGCCCAGACUCCUACGGGAGGCAGCAGUGGGGAAUAUUGGACAAUGGGGGGAACCCUGAUCCAGCCAUGCCGCGUGUGUGAAGAAGGCCUUAUGGUUGUAAAGCACUUUAAGCGAGGAGGAGGCUACUUUAGUUAAUACCUAGAGAUAGUGGACGUUACUCGCAGAAUAAGCACCGGCUAACUCUGUGCCAGCAGCCGCGGUAAUACAGAGGGUGCGAGCGUUAAUCGGAUUUACUGGGCGUAAAGCGUGCGUAGGCGGUUAUUAAGUCGGAUGUGAAAUCCCCGAGCUUAACUUG
rnacentral:rRNA from 1 species